UUGACACCUAACGAGCUAGAUGGAAGCUUGUGGAUGAAGCGGGUCAAACGGAGCAAGUACGGAAAGAAAAGCGAGGCAUGGAUGCAAGUUUCAAAUACAUUAAGAAUAAUUUUCAAGAUAUGGUUCCCGACGCGAAAUAAUACGGGUCGGAACUAACAUAAAUGAUAAAAACCAUGUUUAAUGGUAAAAGAGAUAGAACGGUAAAUUAGCCAUGAAAAGCUAAUUAUAAAAAUGGGUUUUUGAACGGCAACUAUAAGUAAGCCUAAUGAAUAAAAAGAGUAAAACGGGUCAAAUAGUAAUGUGGAUACCAUUUGACAAAUAUCGACUAAUAAGCACUUGUCGAGUUUUAUGCUUACAGGAUAAAGUAGCUUAUGAAUUAGCGUUGCUAUGAAUUAGCAAAUUUUUGAGACAAGGUAUUAAAACGGGUCAAUGUAUUGAUCCGAGCCAGGUACGUGUAAUUAUGUUAUAGUUAAAAGUGAUUAAAGCAUGGAUAUUGCUUCGUAACAUGAUUGAUUGUUCUAUUGUUGACAAUUGAAUAUUGACAUAUUAAAACACGAGAAUUUAAUAUGUUGGUUGUUAGAAUAAAAGAUUCGAGAAAUUGGUAUGGGCAACACAAACAAAACAGUCAAAAACUUACAUGUGCAGAGGCUACCGUAAGUUACGGUACCACCGUAACUUACGGUAGAGGUCAGAAGGCUACGGUAAAUUACCGCUGUGUUACGGUGGAACCAUAGUUUUCCAGAAGCCACCAUAACUUACGGUGACUACCGUAAGUUACGGUGGAGCCCUAAAAUGAAUAUUGAACUUUGUCUAUUUUCUGA
rnacentral:lncRNA from 1 species